rnacentral:rRNA from 1 species
CCUAAGACGGGUAGCUGGUCUGAGAGGAUGAUCAGCCACACUGGAACUGAGACACGGUCCAGACUCCUACGGGAGGCAGCAGUGGGGAAUCUUGCGCAAUGGGCGAAAGCCUGACGCAGCGACGCCGCGUGAGUGAUGAAGGCCUUCGGGUUGUAAAGCUCUGUGGGAGGAGACGAAUAAGUCGUAGCGAAUAGCUCCGAUGAUGACGGUAUCCUUUUAGCAAGCACCGGCUAACUCUGUGCCAGCAGCCGCGGUAAGACAGAGGGUGCAAACGUUGUUCGGAAUUACUGGGCGUAAAGCGCGUGUAGGCGGUCUUGCAGGUCGGAUGUGAAAUCCCUCGGCUCAACCAAGGAAGUGCAUUCGAAACCGCAAGACUUGAGUGUCGGAGAGGAAGGCGGAAUUGUCGGUGUAGAGGUGAAAUUCGUAGAUAUCGACAGGAACACCUGUGGCGAAAGCGGCCUUCUGGACGAACACUGACGCUGAGACGCGAAAGCGUGGGGAG